UAGAGUUUGAUCAUGGCUCAGAUUGAACGCUGGCGGCAUGCUUUACACAUGCAAGUCGAACGGUAACAGGUCUUCGGAUGCUGACGAGUGGCGAACGGGUGAGUAAAACAUCGGAACGUGCCUGGUAGUGGGGGACAACUGCUCGAAAGAGCAGCUAAUACCGCAUGGCAUCCAAGGAUAAAAGCAGGGGACCUUCGGGCCUUGUGCUACCAGAGCGGCCGAUGGCAGAUUAGGUAGUUGGUGAGGUAAAGGCUCACCAAGCCUGCGAUCUGUAGCUGGUCUGAGAGGACGACCAGCCACACUGGGACUGAGACACGGCCCAGACUCCUACGGGAGGCAGCAGUGGGGAAUUUUGGACGAUGGGCGCAAGCCUGAUCCAGCAAUGCCGCGUGCAGGACGAAGGCCUUCGGGUUGUAAACUGCUUUUGUACAGAACGAAAAGGACUGGGUUAAUACCCUGGUCAUAUGACGGUACUGUAAGAAUAAGCACCGGCUAACUACGUGCCAGCAGCCGCGGUAAU
rnacentral:rRNA from 1 species